rnacentral:misc_RNA from 1 species
GAUGAAGAACGUAGCGAAAUGCGAUAAGUAGUGUGAAUUGCAGAAUUCAGUGAAUCAUCGAAUCUUUGAACGCACAUUGCGCCCCCUGGUAUUCCGGGGGGCAUGCCUGUUCGAGCGUCAUUUCACCACUCAAGCCUCGCUUGGUAUUGGGCAACGCGGUCCGCCGCGUGCCUCAAAUCGUCCGGCUGGGUCUUCUGUCCCCUAAGCGUUGUGGAAACUAUUCGCUAAAGGGUGUUCGGGAGGCUACGCCGUAAAACAACCCCAUUUCUAAGGUUGACCUCGGAUCAGGUAGGGAUACCCGCUGAACUUAAGCAUAUCAAUAAGCGGAGGA